rnacentral:rRNA from 1 species
UACGUAGGUGGCAAGCGUUGUCCGGAUUUACUGGGCGUAAAGAGCGCGCAGGCGGUCGUUCAAGUCGAGUGUGAAAGCCCCCGGCUCAACUGGGGAGGGUCACUCGAUACUGAUCGACUCGAAGGCAGGAGAGGGAAGUGGAAUUCCCGGUGUAGUGGUGAAAUGCGUAGAUAUCGGGAGGAACACCAGUGGCGAAGGCGACUCCUGGCCUGUUCUUGACGCUGAGGCGCGAAAGCUAGGGAGCAAACGGG